UACGUAGGGCGCAAGCGUUGUCCGGAAUUAUUGGGCGUAAAGAGCUCGUAGGCGGCCUGUUGCGUCCGCUGUGAAAUCCCGGGGCUCAACCCCGGGCCUGCAGCGGAUACGGGCUGGCUGGAGGCAGGCAGGGGAGAACGGAAUUCCUGGUGUAGCGGUGAAAUGCGCAGAUAUCAGGAGGAACACCGGUGGCGAAGGCGGUUUUCUGGGCCUGUUCUGACGCUGAGGAGCGAAAGCGUGGGGAGCGAACAGG
rnacentral:rRNA from 1 species